rnacentral:lncRNA from 1 species
AUGCUAACAUGCAAGUGUCUUUGCUUUGCAGAGCUUCCGUCAUAUCGUCUUUUAAGGAACUUAUUUGCUCAGCAGGACGAGAGUGGUUCGAGGACUGCAUUGGAGAUGGAAAAUUUCUCUGUAGAAGAUCAGUCUGAUUUCCGCAGAGCAGAGGAACCUCAGUUCGACAUCAAACAGGAUCUUCAAGAACAAGAAAUCUAUCAAGGGAUUGAAGGAGGUGUCAGCUUUAUAGGGGACGGCACGAAGCCAACAACAAGUAGUCCUUCAUCUCUUAGUUGCCAUGGAGGAGAAGCCACUCAGGUAGGGCAAAGGCCUUGUGUAUUUGAAUCAUGUACUUUAAUCUUACUAUUUAUCCCUCUUGAAGUUUCCGUGAUUUCUUUAGCGGCUUAUUUAAUUUAUUAUUGUUGUUAUUAUUCCAUAUUGUAGCGGUCACGAAAUGAGAAGCCUGAUAGUUUCGAUGAUUACCGAAUAAAGAAAGCAAUUAACUUUAGAGAGAGAAGCUA